UCCCUGGUUCAACUCCAGGUGCCCCCUCUCUUUACCUCCUUUUCCAACCUUUCUUCUUUGUGGACAGAAUAGGGAGAGACCAUCUUAGGCUUCCCAUUUCAGGAACCACUCCGUGUUCUUUUACCGGGAAGAAAAUUGACUUUUUUCCCCUCUGUUUUUGCUGAAGAAGGCAUGGAAAAGCUACCAAGGUGCUUUUGCAGCGGUGGGAUGCAAUUCCAGGCUUUCCUGCCCCAGUAACUCCCAUUAAGGAUGCAGUACGCACCAACCACGGGGUCUUUUUUUAAAACCCAGACCUCCCCCGCGCUGUUUAUUGCAGGCACCCGGGGUCGGUGCUGCAGAAAUCAACCCAGAACCGAUCCCAAAAGGGAGCAGCCACACCUGGGCGCUGCCUCCCCGGGAGGGGGGUCUCGAACCCGGCUCCUCGGGCCCCGCGGGCGGCUUCGCUCCCCCUGCGCCACGCCCCGGGGCCGCGGCCGCGCCUUGGGGGGCCCGCGCGUGGCUCCGGGGCAGGGCGCGGGGCUGGGGGCCCGGAGGACCCCGGUUCGAGGCCCACCGAGGGCGGAACCCACCCCGGGAGGGGGGGGGGAGGGAGCUGGGGGUCCUCUCCUCCGGUGCUCGGUGCUGCGGGCAGGCGGCUCCCCGUGUGUUUGGGAAUGGUGGGGGGCGCCCCUUUAUUUACCUGCGGUGUUGUUCGGAAGGAUUUGGGUUUUUUUUCCUUUGAGGGGAGGGGGGAAAAACGGGAGCUGUGAGGGGGGCAGCGGCCCCUGCUCCUCCUUCCGCCAUCUUGGCGGCGCGGCGGAAGUGACGUCAUCACGCGGCGGUGAGGAGAGGGGGCGGAGGUCGGGGCCGGGGGUGGAGGUGGGGGCCGGGGGCUGCGCCCUGAGGGCCGGGCCCGUGACCCGGUACCGGGCUCCGGUAGCGUCAAUUCCCCCCUUUCCUGCCUCAGGAGCCGCUGUCGGGUGGGCUCCGGCCGGGCCCGGCCCGGCUGGAAGGCGGCGGCGAGGCUGCGGGUGUCGGCGGUUCCCUGCCCUGCAGCCUCUGGACAGGCAGCGAGGCCGCGGGCAGCACCGGAGCUGCUCCCUGACAGGUUUGGGUGAGGCCCUGAGCACACAGGGGCACGGCCGAGCGCCUUCGGAGGCCUCCUGAGGUGGGUGCUUCCGAGCCAUUCUAUUUUCCUACUCCAUCAUGAGGUGCUGUAAGGGAAAGCAAAGUGGGGAGUGGUUGGCCUGUCCCCCAGGAGCCUGUGAGCGAGGUCUGGGGCUGGCAGGGCCAGGAGGAGACCAAGGAGAGGGAAUUCCUGCGGGAGCCGUGCCGCAGGUGCUGUGAGCA
rnacentral:lncRNA from 1 species